UAGCGUAUGUUAAAGUUGUUGCGGCUAAAAAGCUCGUAGUUGGAUUUCUGUUGAGGACAUCUGGUCCGCUCUAUGAGCGUGCAUCUAGUUUGGCCUCGGCAUCCGCUCUGCAUACGAUUCUGCGCUUGAUUGCGUGGUUCGGAGGUAGGGCCUUUUACUUUGAGGAAAUUAGAGUGUUCACGGCAGGCUUUCGCCAGAAUACAUUAGCAUGGAAUAAUACUAUAGGAUCUUGGUUCUAUUUUGUUGGUUUGCGCACCAAGGUAAUGAUUAAUAGGGAUAGUUGGGGGUAUUCAUAUUUAAUUGUC
rnacentral:rRNA from 1 species